rnacentral:ncRNA from 1 species
AUUUAAGUCAAAGAAAAACACGAUGGCUUGCUUAUAAUCACAGCAAGCGGGAGACGAUGAGAGUCCCGCAUUCCCUAAGCAGUAACAUUAUCAUUUUCUGACAUUUUCACUGAACUUGAGUAAGUGGAAAGGUUGGCUCACCUUACGAGCAAAGAGGGAAUGGUAAUGAUUUUUACUGUUCUAAACUAAGGUGGUACCACGAGCUUUCGUCCUUUCU